CCAAACAAAGUAACAGAUGUGUUGAAAGACCGAAACAACUCAUGUCCUGUGUAAAGCUCCAUUUCCAUCUUUCCCUGUUGGUCAUAAGCUUCCUUUGAAGCAAAAGCCAAACAAAGUAACAGAUGCGUUAAAAGACCAAAACACUCCAUAGAUGCUUCCAAAUAAGAUUGGGAGAGGAAGAGGACGCGUCAAGCAACAAAGUAUAAGUUGUUUUAACGGUG
rnacentral:lncRNA from 1 species